CGAACUAAUUGAUGGUUCCAGUGAGAUAUGUUUGAUAUUCUUGGUUGUUUCAUUCAAAAGUUCACCCAGGAAUCAAACAUAUUAUUACUGUGACCCUCGC
ensembl:ncRNA mir-190 mir-190 stem loop